rnacentral:rRNA from 1 species
CCUACGGGAGGCAGCAGUGAGGAAUAUUGGUCAAUGGACGCAAGUCUGAACCAGCCAUGCCGCGUGCAGGAAGACGGCUCUAUGAGUUGUCAACUGCUUUUGUACGAGGGUAAAUCCCGAUACAUGUAUCGGGUUGAAAGUAUCGUACGAAUAAGAAUCGGCUAACUCCGUGCCAGCCGCCGCGGUAAUACGGAGGAUUCAAGCGUUAUCCGGAUUUAUUGGGUUGAAGGGGUGCGUAGGCGGUUCGAUAAGUUAGAGGUGAAAUCCCGGGGCUCAACCACGGCAGUGCCGGUGAUACUGUCGGGCUAGAGUAUAGUUGAGGUAGGCGGAAUGCAUGGUGUAGCGGUGAAAUGCAUAGAGAUCAUACAGAACACCGAUUGCGAAGGCAGCUUACCAAACUACGACUGACGUUGAGGCACGAAAGCGUGGGGAGCAAACAGGAUUAGAUACCCGUGUAGUC